UCCUCUUGCUACCUGCCUGUGAUCUUGGCACCUCUGCUGCCACUCUGGUGGCCUCCAGCAUCUGCCUCUGUGUUGUGCACAACAGAAACAUAGGGGCAGAGCUGACCCCUUGGAGCUGCCAGUGCAGCAUGAAGCUGCCUGCAGCAACUCAGGUGUGCUUUUCAGUAGCAGAGAAAGGCAGCUAACUCUGAAUGCAUCACUUUGCACGAAAUGAGCGUCUUCCCCAACAAACCGAUGCUCCUCUUCUUCUGAAGGAAGUCCUACUGUCAUCAGUCAGACUUAACACAUCCCAGAGGAUGCUCUGCCUUGUCCCAGUCUGCGAACAGACACCAGCCCUGGCCGUGGGACAGAUGGAGAUGCCUUACCUUCAGCCUUACCUUCCAGUCAUCUCUGAGAGAGCAGCGAGCCCCCUCACAGCAUCAGGUACUAAAUCUGAGUGGUGGAGUAUGACCAUGUGCUUCAGUAAAGUGACUUGUGUGUCCACCUUCAUUCUUGAACACUUGAGAGUUGCUUCAAACCAUGGAACAUUGUUAUUUAUUCCUGAUUUGAAAACCCCACUUUAAUGGUGGCCAUUUUUACCUGCGUAACACUUAGCAAAAGGCCAAAAAAACCCACAAACCAGGGCAUGUUCUGAGCAGCUGAGGCUGCCCUGUGCAGCCGUGCUUCUUUGCGUUGUGAGGAAAUGUAAUAUUGCAGCCACCCAGCCCCUGCCUGCGUGCAGCCCUGGCUUGUGGAAGUGACAUUAGAACCCAAAUCCAGAAUGUGUAACAACAGAUGAGCUGUUCUGUCAGCAGCAGAGAUCUACAAUCCAGAAUAAUGGGAACACUACAAGUGAUAGAUCUAGAAAUGAACAGGUGUACAGUCUUUUUUAUAUUAUUGCAAGUAAAAAGAUCUCCUACAAACAAUGGCAGAAGAGAACUCUGGGUGACGCUGUCUGUUCUGAGGUGAUGGUCUUCAAGAGCCCAAGAAGUCACUGAUCACCCGAGGCUUGCCUAGUCCAUGUUAAAGCCUAUUUUCUACAGGUCCCCAUUGAGCUCAAGAGCCUUCAAAAGAGAUGAACACCUACCUGAGCUUGCACCCAGCUCCCAACUGGCAAUGUGCACAGGCUCCAGCAGCAAUAACACAGCUGCCCUGCACACACCGUUUCAGGGCUUCUCCUCACUACCCCAGAGGACCACAUGAAAUGAUCUCAUUGCAUACAGUCCCUGCAGUCAGGAGUGCAUUUCCACCAAGUGCUGGGAUCCAGGGUCAGUGCAACCAUUUUUUUUUUUGUAAGAGAAAAAACAUCUCUGAGCUGAGCUUAGGGCACCUGGAGCACAUCCAUGUGAUGACUCCAAUCACUGCUAUGCACUCAAGAUAAGUCGUAAAUACUCCACUACGUCUAAGCAAAUGGUCAUAUAUGCUUAACUCCUUAGCUAUUUUGCAAAAAAAAAAAAAA
ensembl:lncRNA